rnacentral:rRNA from 1 species
UACGUAGGGGGCAAGCGUUGUCCGGAUUUAUUGGGCGUAAAGAGCGUGUAGGCGGCCAUGUAGGUCCGGUGUGAAAACUCGAGGCUUAACCUCGAGAUGUCAUCGGAAACCAUUUGGCUAGAGUCCGGAAGAGGAGAGUGGAAUUCCUGGUGUAGCGGUGAAAUGCGCAGAUAUCAGGAAGAACACCAAUGGCGAAAGCAGCUCUCUGGGACGGUACUGACGCUGAGACGCGAAAGCGUGGGGAGCAAACAGG